rnacentral:rRNA from 1 species
GAUGAACGCUGGCGGCGUGCCUAAUACAUGCAAGUCGAGCGAACAGACGAGGAGCUUGCUCCUCUGACGUUAGCGGCGGACGGGUGAGUAACACGUGGAUAACCUACCUAUAAGACUGGGAUAACUUCGGGAAACCGGAGCUAAUACCGGAUAACAUGUUGAACCGCAUGGUUCAACAGUGAAAGACGGUUUUGCUGUCACUUAUAGAUGGAUCCGCGCCGCAUUAGCUAGUUGGUAAGGUAACGGCUUACCAAGGCAACGAUGCGUAGCCGACCUGAGAGGGUGAUCGGCCACACGGGAACUGAGACACGGUCCAGACUCCUACGGGAGGCAGCAGUAGGGAAUCUUCCGCGAUGGGCGAAAGCCUGACGGAGCAACGCCGCGGGAGUGAAGAAGGUCUUCGGAUCGUAAAACUCUGUUAUUAGGGAAGAACAAAUGUGUAAGUAACUAUGCACGUCUUGACGGUACCUAAUCAGAAAGCCACGGCUAACUACGUG